CGGCACUGCAGCCUGCGGUCGAGGGCGGGGCCGCAUCUGGAGGUGGGCUCGGAGGCGGAGCCAGUCUCUCUGACUUUUUCUCCAUCCCUAUUUUCUCUGCUUUCUUCCUCCCAUUCCUGACUCCUUUUCACUUUCCUUUGCUUUUGUUUAUUCUCUUUAACAAUAUUAUUGAACUUCAUCUGUAACGGAUCUGGAAAACAAGAACAUUGAUUCUGCCAAGCCCGCCGAUCUUCAUUUGAUCUCCAGGACCCACAUGAUGGAAGGAGAAUGGACUCCUGAAAGUUGUCCUUUGACACCUCUAAUGUACCGCGGGAAGCUCUUUAAACAGCAAGGUCAACAACUCAAAACAGCUUCAGGAAGUCUCUGCAACUGACCAGAUUCUCUAGGUGCCUCCCUGCCAGAGAAAGCAAUUAAAGCUGAGAGAGUCCCUCUCAGAGGAGAGAAGCUAAACUGAGAAGACUCUCGGACUGCAAGACCAGACCAGCUGCCACAAAGAAAGAGAAACCAGCUUGUAUGCCUAGAAGAGGUUUAGCCCGAGUCACCUGAAAAGGACACUGUCCAACCCGUUGAACUGCCUGCAGGCUGUGCAGUGUGCUUCAGGUUCCCAGCUUUGGGAGCUGUCACCCAUGCUGGGGUGGGCUUUGGGGAUGCAGCUAUCUUUGAGUCAUCUCUACUCCUUAAGUAACUCCUCAUCCAUAUGCCCGUAAGUCACCCCAAUAAAACUUACUGGUUUACCAAGUUG